GAGGAAGGCUCUCGGGAUGUAAACCUCUUAUGCUUGGGAAGAAAAUCUGACGGUACCAAGGGAAUCUGCAUCGGCUAACUUCGUGCCAGCACCCGCGGUUAUACGGAGGAUCCAAGCUUUAUCCGGAAUUAUCGGGCGUAAAGCGUCCGCCGGUGGUUUUUUAAGUCUGCUGUCCAAGACUGAAGUUUCACUUCGGAAAAGCACGGGAAACUGAAAAACUAGAAGUCAGUAGGGCUAGCAGGAAUUCCCAGCGUAGUGGUAAAAUGCGAAGAGAUUGGGAACAACAUCGGUGGCGAAAGUGUGCUACUGGGUUGAAUCUGACACUGAGUGACGAAAGCUAGGGGCUCAAAAGGGGUUAGAUACCCCUGUCGUCACUAGACUUAAACGAUGGAAACUAAGCGUGGCUUGUACCGACCCGAGCCGUGCCUAAGCUAACGCGUUAAGUUUCCCGCCUGGGGAGUACGCACGCAAGUGUGAAAGCUCAAAGAAAUUGACGGGGGCCCGCACAAGCGGUGGAGUAUGUGGUUUAAUUCGAUGCAACGCGAAGAACAUUACCAGGGCUUGACAUGUCGCGUAUCCCCUUGAAAGGGGGGUGUGCCUUCGGGAGCGCGAACCCAGGUGGUGCAUGGCUGUCGUCGGCUCGUGUCGUGAGAUGUUGGGUCAAGUCCCGCAACAACCGCAACCCUCGUCCUUAGUUGCCAGCAGGUAAAGCUGGGCACUCUGAGGAGACUGCCGGUGACAAACGGGAGGAAGGUGGGGAUGACGUCAAGACAGCAUGCCCCUUACGCCCCCGGGUUACACACGUACUACAAUGGUUGAGACAAUGGGCAGCUGAGCUUGCGA
rnacentral:rRNA from 1 species